GUGGGGAAUUUUGGACAAUGGGCGCAAGCCUGAUCCAGCAAUGCCGCGUGCAGGAAGAAGGCCUUCGGGUUGUAAACUGCUUUUGUACGGAACGAAACGGUCCUGGUUAAUACCCGGGGCUAAUGACGGUACCGUAAGAAUAAGCACCGGCUAACUACGUGCCAGCAGCCGCGGUAAUACGUAGGGUGCAAGCGUUAAUCGGAAUUACUGGGCGUAAAGCGUGCGCAGGCGGUGCUGUAAGACAGGCGUGAAAUCCCCGGGCUUAACCUGGGAAUUGCGCUUGUGACUGCAGUGCUGGAGUGCGGCAGAGGGGGAUGGAAUUCCGCGUGUAGCAGUGAAAUGCGUAGAUAUGCGGAGGAACACCGAUGGCGAAGGCAAUCCCCCUGGGCCUGCACUGACGCUCAUGCACGAAAGCGUGGGGAGCAAACAGGAUUAGAAACCCGUGUAGUCC
rnacentral:rRNA from 1 species